GUGGAACGAGUCAGAGCUAGGAGGACAGAGAGAGAGAGUGAAGCAGUAUUUCACCUGGUCAGGAAACCGUCUCCAAGAGAGAAUGAACCCUGUAACCACGCAGAAUGAACCCUGUAACCACGCAGAAUGAACCCUGUAACCACGCAGAAUGAACCCUGUAACCACGCAGAAUGAACCCUGUAACCACGCAGAAUGAACCCUGUAACCACGCAGAAUGAACCCUGUCACCACGCAGAAUGAACCCUGUCACCACGCAGAAUGAACCCUGUCACCACGCAGAAUGAACCCUGUCACCACGCAGAAUGAACCCUGUCACCACGCAGAAUGAACCCUGUCACCACGCAGAAUGAAUCCUGUAACCACGCAGAAUUAAUACAUCGCAAAUAGACGUUCAUCCAUAAUACAUCGAAUUUCAAAGGGAAACUAUGAGAUCUUGUUGAUGAUUUGGCUGUGUCUCUGGAGCUGUGGACGUGGCAGGGUCGGAUAAGCCUGCAUAUAAGGAAUAACUUUGGGAAUAACUUUGGAAAUAAUGCUGGGAAUAAUGCUUAUACUGAUGUCUUUAGCAGUUGGACUAAAGCAAACAUAGCCUUUCAUAGUCUGAGAGAAAAAUAUAUUUUGGAAUACAAGUUAUGGAUUUAAUAUAAGUACAAGGUUUUUAUUUAUGUACACAGAUACUGUAUUUUAUUUUAGCAUCAUUAAACAUUUGAUCAUUUACUCAACGACAGCAGGCCUUACAUCGUGUGAAUUUCCAUGAAAAAGCUACAGUCAGAAUGUCUAGUAAUGAGUUUACAUCAGUUUGAGAUGUUACUGCAUCAUAGACCAUGUUAUAUAUCAA
rnacentral:lncRNA from 1 species